GAGGAGCCGCCGUUAUCCAGCGAAUCGAAAGACGAAGAAAGCGUUGCCUUGGGAACGUCUUCCUCGGGACGUCUCGGAUGGCUCGAACUCUUCAACUUCCGGGACUCGGUGAAGCGAACGUUCUAUUCGUUGCGAAAGGGCUGCGACAGAAAGUAUUGUGUAAGACGCGUUCCCCGGGGGUUUCCUCGUUGCCCACGCAAAGGAACCGGAGGCCAGGCCAGUGAUGGACCACCAGGGAGCCGCCACGCCCCCGGCGGGCCUCGUUUUACCCACGCGAUCUUUGGUGGAGCGCGCGCGUACGCUUCUGCCUGCUUGAACGACUUUAACGCAGAGAGAGGAAAAAGGUGGUGUGGUCGGCGGCACGGCUUAACUAGCGCGCGGAAUCGCGCGAACCAGCCCCGGGGGUUGGGAGAACGAGAACAAAAAAGCCUUGGUAAUCAAAGGAACAGAGGGAACGGAGGGAUGGUUAAGGGGUGAAACAGCGAGAGCGGCAAUGGCGGAUGACGACGUUGACUCGUGGCUUGGUCCAAGGAUCAAGAGGCGUGUCACCCCCGGGGCGAAGAAGCGGUGUCGACGGGAGGAUAAUCGUCGGGUCAUCAGGAAAAACGCAG
rnacentral:misc_RNA from 1 species